rnacentral:lncRNA from 1 species
CACAACCAUCAGUAAUGGGCUGUGAUGCCCUCUUCUGGGGUGUGUAAAGAAAGUAACAGUGUAUUCAUAUAAAACAAACAAAUACAUCAAUCUUUAAAAAGAAAAAAAAAGAAAGAAAGAACACCUUCUGUUGAGAUGGGGUCUCAAACUGUUGGGCUCAAGAUCCUGACUCGGCCUCCAGGGAGACUCUGCACCUUGGAGUCUGGUUUAAAGGAACUCGGCAGACAUCGGCUGUAAGAGUCCAAGGAGAGGAAUGUUCUGUUGCACUCCAGGUUUCUAAAUCUUCCCUCUUUACAAUGAAAAAGAUUUACUAAACAUGUUCUAAACUUCCACAGUUCAAAUGAAAGCAACAUAGACUUUUGAGUGUGUGUGCACUUUAAAAAAAGAUUUCUUUUUAUUUGUGUGUGUGUGUGGUGUGUGUGUGUGUAUGUGUGUAUAUAUAUAUAUGUGUGUGUGUGUGUGUGUGUGUGUGUAUGCGUGUCUGUUCAUGUGUGCAUGUGGACAUGUAUGAAGCUACCCAUGGAGGCCAGAGGGAACAUAGAUGCUUUGGAGCUGGAGAUGCAAGUGGGUUCUGACCCUCUACAAGUAGAGUAAGCAGGCCACCCCUGAGCCAUCUCUCGGGCUCCAGAGUGGUUUUUUGUUUGUUUCUGUUUUUUAGACAGGGUCUCUGUAGUCCAAGAUGGCCUGGAACUUGCUGUGAUACUCCAGCCUCAGCAUCAGCUUCCAAAGUGGUAAGCACUGUACUUGGUUUUUUGUUUUUUUCUUUGCUUUUUUGAAACAGGGUUUCUCUGUGUAGCCCUGGCUGUCCUGGAACUUACUCUGUAGACCAGGCUGGCCUCGACUCAGAAAUUUGCCUGCCUCUGCCUCCCAAAUGCUUGGAUUAAAGGUGCGCUCCACCAUGCCCGGCAAGCACUGUACUUGUUAAGCAAUGAAGUGAACCACUCUACUUGGGUCUGAGAAUUACAAUUCUGUAAAU